rnacentral:rRNA from 1 species
GGGUUGUGAGGUUAAGCGACUAAGCGUACACGGUGGAUGCCCUGGCAGUCAGAGGCGAUGAAGGACGUGCUAAUCUGCGAUAAGCGUCGGUAAGGUGAUAUGAACCGUUAUAACCGGCGAUUUCCGAAUGGGGAAACCCAGUGUGAUUCGUCACACUAUCAUUAACUGAAUCCAUAGGUUAAUGAGGCGAACCGGGGGAACUGAAACAUCUAAGUACCCCGAGGAAAAGAAAUCAACCGAGAUUCCCCCAGUAGCGGCGAGCGAACGGGGAGGAGCCCAGAGCCUGAAUCAGUGUGUGUGUUAGUGGAAGCGUUUGGAAAGGCGCGCGAUACAGGGUGACAGCCCCG